rnacentral:lncRNA from 12 species
CUCCACUAAGUCUCAGGUUCCUUAUUGGGUCUCACUGGUUUAUCGAUUUCUUCACUAGAUUAAAUCACGAUGCAAUAUAGCUGAGUGAUGUGGAGUUUGUGGAUGAUCCUAUUGUUGCCCUAAUUAAAGUUCCCAAGAUAGUUUUACUUACCCUUCUCUGAAUUAUGGAGUUGUAAGAAAACUUGAAGAUCAAAGAAUUGUGGGAUCAUUGCAUUUCAACCAGUAAAUUUCCAGGCAAAGAAGUUCUUCAGUUAUACCAUCAGUUUUUUCUUUCAUCUCAAGUGCAAUUUUGACAGAUUAUUUAAACUAUGCGAAAGGAUGAAAAAAGUCACAAAACAGGAAUCUGAGGAUUUGGACCAAGCUUUGUCAUUAUAAUUUGCUG